rnacentral:rRNA from 1 species
UGGGGAAUAUUGCACAAUGGGCGCAAGCCUGAUGCAGCCAUGCCGCGUGUGUGAAGAAGGCCUUCGGGUUGUAAAGCACUUUCAGCGGGGAGGAAGGCGAUAAGGUUAAUAACCUUGUCGAUUGACGUUACCCGCAGAAGAAGCACCGGCUAACUCCGUGCCAGCAGCCGCGGUAAUACGGAGGGUGCAAGCGUUAAUCGGAAUUACUGGGCGUAAAGCGCACGCAGGCGGUCUGUCAAGUCGGAUGUGAAUUCCCCAGGCUCAACCUGGGAACUGCAUUCGAAACUGGCAGGCUAGAGUCUUGUAGAGGGGGGUAGAAUUCCAGGUGUAGCGGUGAAAUGCGUAGAGAUCUGGAGGAAUACCGGUGGCGAAGGCGGCCCCCUGGACAAAGACUGACGCUCAGGUGCGAAAGCGUGGGGAGCAAACAGG